CCCUUAGAGUUUGAUCCUGGCUCAGGAUGAACGCUGGCGGCGUGCUUAACACAUGCAAGUCGAGCGAAGCGAUUUAAAUGAGACUUCGGUGGAUUUUAAAUUGACUGAGCGGCGGACGGGUGAGUAACGCGUGGAUAACCUGCCUCACACAGGGGGAUAACAGUUAGAAAUGACUGCUAAUACCGCAUAAGCGCACGGUACUGCAUGGUACAGUGUGAAAAACUCCGGUGGUGUGAGAUGGAUCCGCGUCUGAUUAGGUAGUUGGUGAGGUAACGGCCCACCAAGCCGACGAUCAGUAGCCGACCUGAGAGGGUGACCGGCCACAUUGGGACUGAGACACGGCCCAAACUCCUACGGGAGGCAGCAGUGGGGAAUAUUGCACAAUGGGCGAAAGCCUGAUGCAGCAACGCCGCGUGAGUGAAGAAGUAUCUCGGUAUGUAAAGCUCUAUCAGCAGGGAAGAAAA
rnacentral:rRNA from 1 species